rnacentral:lncRNA from 1 species
UAAUUAGUGUGAUAUUCUUAUUAGAGUAGUGUAGCUCACCCUUUCAUUAACUAUUUUAGAUCAAGAGGACCAAGAUCCAGAUGUCGAUCAGUAAGAGAGUUGUGAGUAGUUCAUUAUCCUGACUCACUUCAAGUGCUAGUGAAGGUUGUUCUAGGAUGCUUAGUUAUUCACUCUUCGUUUCAUUUGUUUAAUUUUUGUUUGUCG